rnacentral:rRNA from 1 species
UACGGAGGGUGCAAGCGUUAUCCGGAUUCACUGGGUUUAAAGGGUGCGUAGGUGGGCAAGUAAGUCAGUCGGUGAAAUCUCCGGGCUUAACCCGGAAACUGCCAUUGAUACUAUUUGUCUUGAAUACUGUGGAGGUCAGCGGAAUAUGUCAUGUAGCGGUGAAAUGCUUAGAUAAUUGACAUAGAACACCAAUUGCGAAGGCAGCUGGCUAGACCUAUAUUGACGCUGAGGCACGAAAUGCGUGGGGAGCGAACAGG